AACGUAGGAGACAAACGUUAUCCGGAGUUACUGGGCGUAAAGGGCGUGUAGGCGGUCUGUUAAGUCUGGCGUGAAAGCUCUCGGCUAAACCGGGAGAGGUCGUUGGAUACUGGCAGACUAGAGGACGGUAGAGGCGUGUGGAAUUCCGGGUGUAGUGGUGAAAUGCGUAGAGAUCCGGAGGAACACCAGUGGCGAAGGCGACACGCUGGGCCGUACCUGACGCUAAAGCGCGAUAGCAUGGGGAGCAAACGGG
rnacentral:rRNA from 1 species